CACAGCUGCUGGCAUUUCCCUGUUAUUUGCACCCCGACCUUUUAACAUGAGAUCUGGCCGGAUGCGACGAGCAGAGGAUAUACCCCUUGUAUCGGAGUGGUAUAAGGAGCACUGUCCUCCAUCAUAUCNNNNNNNNNNAGGGUUAGCUACCAGAAAUUGUUGAAAUGUUUUGUUUUGAAUGAGCUGCAUCAUAGACCACCCAAAGCACAGAAGAAGAAGCACCUGUUUCGGUCUCUAGCUGCAACC
rnacentral:misc_RNA from 1 species